ACCAGAGUUCACCAACCCUGUGAAGAGACAGGCCAGGAGUUCAGCCUUCUCAACCAUGCUUUGUGCCUUCAACCUCUAAACCAUUCCACAGAAAGAAUGAGACAUCUCAGUUGAAACUAAUACCCAAAAGGAACCUGAAUGGCACCUUUAAAAAAUAUCUCAUCCAGUCAUCCAGAACCUUUGUUUCUCUCACUUUAGAAGAGGUGAAAGAAGAAAGCUUGAGUCGUAAAUUGAAGACCUUCCUGUUACCUUCCUUUUACAGAAACAAAAGCAGCUUGUCAGGCAAAGAUUAUCUGAAUACCUUGUGCUUAACAAACAGACCAGACGAAUAUAUUCGUUCAGUGGAGUGUUUGCGUAAGGAAGCUACUGAAACUUACUGUUCUUGAGAAUGUUUCCUCCCCAUCUCACCUGCAGGGAAAGAGCACCGAC
rnacentral:lncRNA from 1 species